AGUGAACGCUGGCGGCAUGCCUUACACAUGCAAGUCGAACGGCAGCACCAUAUCAGCGUGUGCCGACUGGUGACCAGUUGCGUACUGCAGCGGAACACAUCUGGAUCUGGUGGUUAACUAGUCGUAAGGGUAGCUAAUAUCCCCUAAGACCUCAUGCUAAAUGCAGGGGAAAUCCGGGCCUCUUGCGACCAUACGCGCUUGUGGCAGCCGAUGUCGGAUUAGCUAGUUGGGGGGGUAAAGGCCCACCAAGGCGACGAUCCGUAGCUGGUCUGAGAGGACGAUCAGCCACACUGGGACUGAGACACGGUCCAGACUCCUACGGGAGGCAGCAGUGGGGAAUAUUGGACAAUGGGCGCAAGCCUGAUCCAGCAAUACCGCGUGGGUGAUGAAGGCCUUCGGGUUGUAAAGCGCUUUUGUUCGGAAAGAAAAGCAGCCUGCUAAUACCGGGGUGUCCUGACGGUACCGAAAGAAUAAGCACCGGCUAACUUCGUG
rnacentral:rRNA from 1 species